UGGGGCAGGGUGGGGGUGCCAGGAGGGGAGAGCCGUGCUCAAAGGUGGGCUUUCCCGGAGGCGACACCCCCAGAUCCCUUGCCCCAGCAGGUCUGCAGACUAGACGCAGCCAGGAGGAGCCGCUGUUCUCUGAUCCCGGGAGACCUGGUUUUGUAACCUGCCCGCGGGCGAAAAAGCAGAGUGAGUCAUCUCCAGCGUCCUGCUCCCCACAGCCCGGGCAGGGUCUCUCCUCCGCUCCAGGGUGGCCAGGGCCUGGCACAGUGGACUCAGUCCCACGGCCGCAGCUGCUGAGUCUCAAGACACUUGGCCCAAAGGCUGACGUACGAAGGGAGGCUCUGACUCAUCACAAACAGCUCUUAGCUAUCACCCGGGUGAAGACAAUAAAACUUUCUAAAUGUC